AAAAAUUCAGAAUAAUCUCACUUUCGUGGGAUAUAUUUUCAAAGUGAAAGUAUUGGGUCAGACCGUCUGACCCAAUACCUUCCGUCGGACGGGCAUAGCCCAUCAAAACGCGCGGGCUUUUUUUUCAUAUUUGUUUUCUUUCUUUUUGUUGAUUACCAGUUUUGUUUAUUUUAAAAAAAACAUUUAACGGUUAUUAGGUCAUAUCUUUUUACGAGUUUGAAACUGUUUUUUCGAUAUCUGCUUGAUUCUCGCUAGUUUUAAAACUGAUUCUUCUUCUUUUCAAAGAAACCGAUUUUUCUAUAUUAAUUACUGAUUAUUUCUAGAAUUUUUCUGGUUCUCUGCUUCUCUGCUGUUGAAAUUUAGCUUGUUUUUUUUGUUCGUAAUUCAUUACUGUUGCAUCGCAAAUAUGGUGAAGAGGAUCAGAGAUGAUGAUUCUAGGUAUAGUUUCGUUUGAUUUUUGCUACAAAUUUUUUUUUUUGUUUUCAAAUUCUUAGCGUUUUGUUGUUGUAAUUGUAAUGUAGCCCGAAGUCGAAGAAGGAGAAGACUGUCGCAUCCUCAGGAAAAAUUUUGGUACUGUCUACUGCUGGGAAGAAGAAAGAGAAAGAUGGUGAUUAUGAUCCAAGAUGUGAUAAAUCAUUGUCUAAGAAGAAAGGCAAAGUUGAUUUAUUACCAGUGAAGUUUUCAUUUUCAAGGUCUAAUCCAGAUGAACAGAAAGACACUUUUGAUAGAUCAUAAACCAGUUGAGGUUAUAGAUGAUGAUGCCUUUAGGAGGAAAGGUAGUCAGGUAGAGGUUGGAAGUGCCAGGAAAGAUUGGCAUAGGUUCCUGGGUAUUUCUGACCCCAAGAAGCCAUACAUUGGUAGAAAAAAUUGGGAU